GCGACAGAAACUAGAGGUUGGUUUAAAGGGACCGCUACAGGAAAAAGAAAACAGGUCACAUGACUCUGUCCAGUUGUAAAGGGGGAAGUGGUUAUAAUGUUAAAGGAGAGUCUGCAGGAGCCACCCCUCGUGCCACCGAGGCCAGGAACUCCUGACGUUUCUGCUGCACCAGACAUGCUGCCCGAAUGAUCUUGUGGCGGGGGGUGCGCAAGUAAGGCCUGUUCACCUUCUGGGCCAGAUCUUCCGUCACCAUUUCAAGGUCGGUCUGCAAAGGCUCCAGGAAGAAACCGUAAGGAUAAGAACACUUGAGGAUGCGCCUGGUCUUGAGCAGCUCUUGCACAGCAUCUUCAAUAAAGGUGGUGUCUGGGCAGCCCCCCUCCGCUAUAAGGCAGACAGAUCAA